GUGCUCACUUUAGCAGCACGUAUACUAAACUUGGAAAAAUACAGAAAAGACUAGCACGGCCCCCACAUAAAAAUGACACAAAUUUGUGAAGUGUUCCAUAUUUUU